rnacentral:tRNA from 1 species
AAAGUAAGAAGUAAAAAAAUUUACAUUUAGUUUCGACCUAAAAUUAGGGGUACCCUUUACUU